AGGACGAACGCUGGCGGCGUGCCUAACACAUGCAAGUCGAACGGGGGUAGCAAUACCCUAGUGGCGAACGGGUGCGUAACACGUGAAGAACUUGUCCAUCGGCGGGGGAUAGCCGGCCCAACGGCCGGGUAAUACCGCGUACGCUUGUCGAGUGGCAUCACUUGACAAGGAAAGCAGCAAUGCACCGAUGGAGAGCUUCGCGGCCUAUCAGCUUGUUGGCGGGGUAAUGGCCCACCAAGGCAACGACGGGUAGCUGGUCUGAGAGGAUGAUCAGCCACAUUGGGACUGAGACACGGCCCAGACUCCUACGGGAGGCAGCAGUGGGGAAUAUUGCGCAAUGGGCGAAAGCCUGACGCAGCGACGCCGCGUGUGGGAUGACGGCCUUCGGGUUGUAACCACUGUCGCGAGGGACGAAAAAAAUGACGGUACCUCGAAAGGAAGCACCGGCUAACUCUGUGCCAGCAGCCGCGGUAA
rnacentral:rRNA from 1 species